CAGUAAUGUAUAUCAAGUUUGCUGCGGCUCAAAAGCUCGUAGUUGGUUUUCUGCCAAGGACAACCGGUCCGCCCUCUGGAUGAGUAUAGGGCUCAGGCCGCUCGGCCUGGGCAUCUUAUUGGAGAACGCAUCUGCACUUGAUCGUGUGGUGCGGUAUCCAGGACUUUUACUUCCGAGGUCAUUAGAGUGUUUCAAGCAGGCACACGUCUUGAACACAGUAGCAUGGAAUAGUACGAUGGGACCUCGGUUAUAUUUUGUUGGUUUCUGGAGCAGAGGUAAUGAUUAAUGGGAAUAGUUAGGGGCAUUUGUAUUUAAUUGUCAGAGGUGGAAUAAUCGGAUAUGUUGAAGACGGACUACUGCUAAAGUCUUUGCCAAGGAUGUUUUCAUUGGUCAUGAAAUAAAGUUAGGGGAUCGAAGAUGAUUAGAUACCAU
rnacentral:rRNA from 1 species